CAUUAAAAUAUUUAUCUAUUUCUAUUAUUAAAAACUGACAUGAUUAAUAAUAAAAUAAUAAAAUAGUUACAAGUGACAUGCCACGUGUACCUCACUCUAAUGUACAUUAACCAGUUUUUAACAAUAGAAAUGGAUGCAUAUUUUAACA
rfam:Gossypium hirsutum cultivar TM-1 chromosome 7, whole genome shotgun sequence